rnacentral:rRNA from 1 species
GGAUGCGAUCAUACCAGCACUAAAGCACCGGAUCCCAUCAGAACUCCGAAGUUAAGCGUGCUUGGGCGAGAGUAGUAGAAGUCCUUGUGUUGCAUUCC